rnacentral:lncRNA from 1 species
CCACCGCCUACAGUGUUUUCAGCCCGACUACAGUGUUUUCAGCCACUAGUUGGGCUUCAAUCUUGGCUCUCUAGUUCGCUAGUUUAGCUUAAUUUUUAGCCUAAACCAACUCUGACUUUGGGCCCAGUUGGCCCCUAACCAGGAUAUAGGAUUAUCUCUUAAUCCUAAUCCUAAUUACAAGUGGACUACAUAACCAAAACACAUCCUAAGCAAAUUUUCAACCGCGAACGUCGAGUCUUGUUCUGGCGAGCUUUCCGACGAACUUUCUGCCGAUGGGCUUCUAGCAAGCUCCCGAACUUGUGAUGACUUUAAUGAGUAGCCGAGCCUUCUCGGUGAUCUCCGUGAACCUCCGACGAUCUCUU